rnacentral:rRNA from 1 species
UACAGAGGGGGGCAAGCGUUGUUCGGAUUUACUGGGCGUACAGGGAGCGUAGGCGGUUGGAUAAGCCCUCCGUGAAAUCUCCAGGCUUAACCUGGAAAGUGCAGAGGGGACUGUUCAGCUAGAGGAUGGGAGAGGAGCGCGGAAUUCCCGGUGUAGCGGUGAAAUGCGUAGAGAUCGGGAGGAAGGCCGGUGGCGAAGGCGGCGCUCUGGAACAUUUCUGACGCUGAGGCUCGAAAGCGUGGGGAGCAAACAGG